rnacentral:rRNA from 1 species
CACGUGGGAACGUGCCUUUAGGUUCGGAAUAACUCAGGGAAACUUGUGCUAAUACCGAAUGUGCCCUUCGGGGGAAAGAUUUAUCGCCUUUAGAGCGGCCCGCGUCUGAUUAGCUAGUUGGUGAGGUAAAGGCUCACCAAGGCGACGAUCAGUAGCUGGUCUGAGAGGAUGAUCAGCCACAUUGGGACUGAGACCACGGGCCCAAACUCCUACGGGAGGCAGCAGUGGGAAUCUUGCGCAAUGGGCGAAAGCCUGACGCAGCCAUGCCGCGUGAAUGAUGAAGGUCUUAGGAUUGUAAAAUUCUUUCACCGGGGACGAUAAUGACGGUACCCGGAGAAGAAGCCCCGGCUAACUUCGUG